UACGUAGGGGGCAAGCGUUGUCCGGAAUCAUUGGGCGUAAAGAGCGUGUAGGCGGCCAGAUAAGUCCGCUGUGAAAACUCGAGGCUCAACUUCGAGCUGUCGGUGGAAACUAUUUGGCUAGAGUCCGGAAGAGGAGAGUGGAAUUCCUGGUGUAGCGGUGAAAUGCGCAGAUAUCAGGAAGAACACCCGUAGCGAAGGCGGCGCUCUGGGCCGGUACUGACGCUGAGGAGCGAAAGCGUGGGGAGCAAACAGG
rnacentral:rRNA from 1 species